CAAUAAAUAAAAUAAAUAAAAAUAAAAAUAAAAAAAGGAAUAUUUUUCCUCUCCUUCUCCUUCACAUCGCUAGCCACCCAAGAUCGUCGCCGUCCAACCCAGGCACCCAAGACCAGUGCACCAUCAUCGUCCAACCCAAUCGUCGACUUCCUCCGGACCAGCCGCGCCGCUCGACCCCGCCAACUGCCUCACCGUUCGCGUCAUCACCGUACGAGCCGCCCACGCUGCCAGGAGAACCCACACAUCUCCAAGGUUCCAGUUGUGCGUUAACGCCGUUUCAGUCGUGCCUCAGCUCGUUGUCGACACGUCCCUUCUGUCCAGCACCCCAUUUGCCGGAUUCUUGGAUUUUUAGGGGCCUUGAUUCAAGAAUUUCAUAGCCAAGAGGGAGGUGUAAUUGCUUGAUAUUUGGGCUUAAAAUCAAGGUAAAAGUAAGGAUAAACUGGCGAACGACAUAAGAGAUCUGUGACCCAGCCAUUUGGAUAUGUCAUCACUUCCGCACUUAGGUCACAUUUGAUAGGAUCUGACUUAGAAGGCUAGCCAUCGUAAAAUUCAUGAUCAUUUCAAUUAUCCAUUGGUUAAUUUGUUAAAUUGUUAUUUAUUCUAAAUUUUG